GGCCGACUAGCUCAGUUGGUUAGAGCGUCGUGCUAAUAUCUACCUAGAUUAUUACGCGAAGGUCUUGGGUUCGAUCCCCACGUUGGCCA